rnacentral:rRNA from 1 species
GAUGAACGCUGGCGGCGUGCCUAAUACAUGCAAGUCGAGCGAACGGACGAGAAGUUUGCUUCUCUGAUGUUAGCGGCGGACGGGUGAGUAACACGGGGAUAACCUACCUAUAAGACUGGGAUAACUUCGGGGAACUGUAGCUAAUACCGGAGAAUAUUUUGAACAGCAUGGUUCAAAAGUGAAAGACGGUCUUGCUGUCACUUAUAGAUGGAUCCGCGCUGCAUUAGCUAGUUGGUAAGGUGACGCCUUACCGAGGCAACGAUGCAAAGCCGCACUAUGAGGGCGAUCGGCCACCCUGCAGCUAGGGCGCGCUCUCACCCCCUACCGGAGGCACCAUUCGGGAUCCUUCGGGAGUGAGCAAUGGCCUAACUGAGCCACUCCACGUGAGUGAUGAGGGUCUUCGGCUCGUAAAUCACUAUUAUUAGCGAAGCACAUAUCUCUAAGUAACUGUGAAAAUCUUGACGGUACCUAAGCAGAAAGCCCCGGCUAACUCCGU